rnacentral:tRNA from 3 species
GGGCCCGUCGUCUAGCUUGGUUAGGACGCCGCCCUCACACGGCGGAGGCCCGGGGUUCAAGUCCCCGCGGGCCCA